CGGGGGCUACAGCUCUGAUUCGACCCCUAGCCUGGGAACCUCCAUAUGCCGCAGGAGUGGCCCAAAGAAAUAGCAAAAAGACAAAAAAAAAAAAAAAAUCCAAGGCAAUUGAUAUUCUGUUAUUACUUGCCCUUGGUAUUAAAUGCUGCGUUGGAAACAGCUUUUCAGAUGCUGUUGGGAGACUUGAACUCUGGCUUCUAACUGUCGCUGAUUUGGAAACUUGGGCAUCUGUAUCUUCCUCUGCAGGUAGGAUGAAAGGUCUCUGUAUCUGAUCAGGGCUCCUAACGUCACAGUUCAAAGCAUCUUUGAUCAGUGGAAAGUGUUGUUGUUCCAUGAUGCACCUCACGUUUGCCGUUGGUGUAAACCACCGCUCAGAAGGGGACCGUACACUCAGUUUUGCCACUGUUCCUUCCUUGACCGAACCGAUGAAUCACACUGCCUGCCUGCAGGAUUUAGUCCACAAACAGCCCCGGACUCUGAGUGGGGGCUUCUGUCUGGAAAGAGCGUCCAGCUCAGCACCAGGGGACAGGAGUGACGCUGCAUCCUCUCCACUUAGAGCCUGUUUCGGACGCUGCUUCCCCUCUAAGCCCAGCUCCCUUUCAGUACAUGGAUCUGCACGGAAAUCCUUCAUUGCUCCUCCUGCCCAGCCUCAGCCUAGCGGGUGCAAGGCCUGGCCUGGCGCUUAGAAUCAGUGGAGAGAACCAGAGACGUCCCAUGGUCAGGCGGCACCUCCUGGGAAGCUGCCACCGGAACUUGUCCCUUCCCCCACCGAGCCAGUCUCUACUGAUGGCCCUGCCUCGAACCUGCCCCGCCACCCACACGUGUGGCAGCAGAAAUGUGGAGCCGGCUGGGCCCCCACCUGAACGCAGCUCUCCCCACGGAGGCCAGACAGUGGGUCUCAACCACUGGCUUUGCAGCCAGGCAGCUGUGGGGCAGUGCCGGCUCCUACUAGCCUGGGGCGGUGGCUGCGCCUCCCUGGCUCCAGCGGCCUUCCUUUGAAGGAGCCAGCACAGCCCCUGCUUUACAGGGUGUCAAGGUCACCGUGAGCAGCAGAGAAGUGGUAACU
rnacentral:lncRNA from 9 species